rnacentral:rRNA from 1 species
UACGAAGGGGGCUAGCGUUGUUCGGAAUUACUGGGCGUAAAGCGCGCGUAGGCGGCUUGGAAAGUUGGGAGUGAAAGCCCGGGGCUCAACCCCGGAACUGCUCUCAAAACUUCCAAGCUAGAGAUCUGGAGAGGAGGGUGGAAUUCCAAGUGUAGAGGUGAAAUUCGUAGAUAUUUGGAAGAACACCAGUGGCGAAGGCGACUCUCUGGCCAGAUACUGACGCUGAGGUGCGAAAGCGUGGGGAGCAAACAGG